GGAGAAGUACUCAAGUGGUUGAAGAGGUGCCCUUGCUAAGGGUAUAGGUCGGGUAACCGGCGCGAGAGUUCGAAACUCUCCUUCUCCGCCA
rnacentral:tRNA from 9 species